GGAGAUGUGGCUGUGAUAUGUGUCAUCCCACUGAUUACCAGGCUUGAUUCGCCUGGUCUGGCUAUCGCAAAGGGCUUCUCAUUCCAUGCAUAGCCCUCCCAAAGCAGCAAGUUCAGUUGAUGAAAAGAGCCUUCCCAACGGAGGCAUAUUAUUUAUCUGUCGAGAGUAAAUGAUGACUCUGGAGGAGAGAGUGAGACUGACGACUUCAUGGAGCUCCUCCUCACUUAAAUCCAAUUCACACAUAAGUCAGCACAUCACCCUCAUGGUGUUAUUG
rnacentral:snRNA from 1 species